rnacentral:rRNA from 1 species
UACGUAGGGGGCAAGCGUUGUCCGGAUUUAUUGGGCGUAAAGAGCGUGUAGGCGGCCUGUAGGUCGGUUGUGAAAACUGGAGGCUCAACCUCAGAGUCGAGACCCACCCUAGGCUAGAGUCCGGAAGAGGAGAGUGGAAUUCCUGGUGUAGCGGUGAAAUGCGCAGAUAUCAGGAAGAACACCCGUGGCGAAGGCGGCUCUCUGGGACGGUACUGACGCUGAGACGCGAAAGCUGGGGAGCGAACAGG